CCCCAGUAACGGCGAGUGAAGCGGCAAAAGCUCAAAUUUGAAAUCUGGCCUCCUACGGGGGUCCGAGUUGUAAUUUGUAGAGGAUGCUUCGGGUGUGGCCGCCGUCUAAGUUCCUUGGAACAGGACGUCAGAGAGGGUGAGAAUCCCGUCUUGGGCGGCCGGUCCGCGCCCGUGUGAAGCUCCUUCGACGAGUCGAGUUGUUUGGGAAUGCAGCUCUAAGCGGGUGGUAAAUUUCAUCUAAAGCUAAAUACUGGUCGGAGACCGAUAGCGCACAAGUAGAGUGAUCGAAAGGUUAAAAGCACCUUGAAAAGGGAGUUAAACAGCACGUGAAAUUGUUGAAAGGGAAGCGCUUGCGGCCAGACUCGGGGGCGGGGUUCAGCGGGCGCUCGUCGCCCGUGCACUCCCCGUCUCCCGGGCCAGCAUCAGUUUCGACGGCCGGUCAAAGGCCUCCGGAAUGUGUCGUCUCUCGGGACGUCUUAUAGCCGGGGGUGCAAUGCGGCCCGUCGGGACUGAGGAACGCGCUUCGGCUCGGAUGCUG
rnacentral:rRNA from 1 species